UUUGAUCCAGAAAAAUUACUAUCUAUGUUUCAUAUUUUUUUUUAAUAUUUUUGGAGUAUGCAUACAUGAUUUUUAUGGGUAGAAAAUAAGUAAUGAAUAUUUUUGGAGAAUUUAGAUAAUUAGUGAAUAGUGAAUUAUGGUGUUAUAUUAAGUAAGGAAAUUUGAGGAAUUAUUUUUAAGGAUUAAAUUUGAGAAUUUU
rnacentral:lncRNA from 1 species